UCAAACUUGGUCAUUUAGAGGAAGUAAAAGUCGUAACAAGGUUUCCGUAGGUGAACCUGCGGAAGGAUCAUUAAAAAUAAUAAUGCUGGUUUCGGCCAGCAAAAUCCUCAAUAACCAAUGUGCAUUUAUUGAAUGUUUUUGGCUUUUGGCAGGUUUUCUCUUUGAGAUGUCCUGCCAAAAGGAUAUCUUUUAUCAUUUCCUGAUUGCUUGACUGACUGUAAUUAAAAAAAAAUCUAAUACAACUUUCAACAACGGAUCUCUUGGCUCUCGCAUCGAUGAAGAACGCAGC
rnacentral:misc_RNA from 1 species